GGCCUCGUAGCUCAGUUGGCUAGAGCGUUUGGCUGUACUUAAGCCUUCUGCUUGCUGUCGUGGGUUCGAAUCCCACCGAGGCAC
rnacentral:tRNA from 1 species